rnacentral:rRNA from 1 species
UAGGGAAUCAUCCACAAUGGACGCAAGUCUGAUGGAGCAACGCCGCGUGAGUGAAGAAGGUUUUCGGACCGUAAAGCUCUGUUGUUGGUGAAGAAGGAUAGAGGUAGUAACUGGCCUUUAUUUGACGGUAAUCAACCAGAAAGUCACGGCUAACUACGUGCCAGCAGCCGCGGUAAUACGUGGGUGGCAAGCGUUGUCCGGAUUUAUUGGGCGUAAAGCGAGCGCAGGCGGAAGAAUAAGUCUGAUGUGAAAGCCCUCGGCUUAACCGAGGAAUUGCAUCGGAAACUGUUUUCUUGAGUGCAGAAGAGGAGAGUAGAACUCCAUGUGUAGCGGUGGAAUGCGUAGAUAUAUGGAAGAAUACCAGUGGCGAAGGCGGCUCUCUGGUCUGCAACUGACGCUGAGGCUCGAAAGCAUGGGUAGCGAACAGGAUUAGAUACCCUGGUAGUCCAUGCCGUAAACGAUGAGUGCUAAGUGUUGGGAGGCUUCCGCCUCUCAGUGCUGCAGCUAACGCAUUAAGCACUCCGCCUGGGGGAGUACGACCGCAAGGUUGAAAC